GGGGGGAUGGUCUAACCUGGUAUGAUACUAGCUUUGGGAGCUAGCGAUCCGAGUUCAAAUCUCGGUCCCCCCA
rnacentral:tRNA from 1 species